rnacentral:rRNA from 1 species
AUUGAACGCUGGCGGCAUGCCUUACACAUGCAAGUCGAACGGUAACGGGCCUUCGGGUGCCGACGAGUGGCGAGCGGGUGAGUAAUACAUCGGAACGUGCCCGAUCGUGGGGGAUAACGAGGCUAAAGCUUUGCUAAUACCGCAUACGAUCUACGGAUGAAAGCAGGGGACCGCAAGGCCUUGCGCGGACGGAGCGGCCGAUGGCAGAUUAGGUAGUUGGUGGGAUAAAAGCUUACCAAGCCGACGAUCUGUAGCUGGUCUGAGAGGAUGAUCAGCCACACUGGGACUGAGACACGGACCAGACUCCUACGGGAGGCAGCAGUGGGGAAUUUUGGACAAUGGGCGCAAGCCUGAUCCAGCCAUGCCGAGUGCAGGAUGAAGGCCUUCGGGUUGUAAACUGCUUUUGUACGGAACGAAAAGCCUUCUUUUAAUACAGGAGGGUCAUGACGGUACCGUAAGAAUAAGCACCGGCUAACUACGUG